CCUACGGGAGGCAGCAGUGAGGAAUAUUGGUCAAUGGGCUUACGCCUGAACCAGCCAAGUCGCGUGAGGGAAGACUGUCCUAUGGGUUGUAAACCUCUUUUGGCAGGGAGCAACGCCGGCUACGUGUAGCCGGACUGAGAGUACCUGAAGAAAAAGCAUCGGCUAACUCCGUGCCAGCAGCCGCGGUAAUACGGAGGAUGCGAGCGUUAUCCGGAUUUAGUGGGUUUAAAGGGUGCGUAGGCGGACUUCCAAGUCAGCGGUAAAAUCGCGGGGCUCAACCUCGCCCCGCCGUUGACACUGGCGUUCUUGAGUGGGCGAGAAGUAUGCGGAAUGCGUGGUGUAGCGGUGAAAUGCAUAGAUAUCACGCAGAACUCCGAUUGCGAAGGCAGCAUACCGGCGCCCAACUGACGCUGAAGCACGAAAGCGUGGGGAUCGAACAGGAUUAGAUACCCUUGUAGUC
rnacentral:rRNA from 1 species